GAGUUUGAUCGUGGCUCAGAUUGAACGCUGGCGGCAGGCCUAAACACAUGCAAGUCGAGCGGUAGAGAGAAGCUUGCUUCUCUUGAGAGCGGCGGACGGGUGAGUAAUGCCUAGGAAUCUGCCUGGUAGUGGGGGAUAACGCUCGGAAACGGACGCUAAUACCGCAUACGUCCUACGGGAGAAAGCAGGGGACCUUCGGGCCUUGCGCUAUCAGAUGAGCCUAGGUCGGAUUAGCUAGUUGGUGAGGUAAUGGCUCACCAAGGCGACGAUCCGUAACUGGUCUGAGAGGAUGAUCAGUCACACUGGAACUGAGACACGGUCCAGACUCCUACGGAGGCAGCAGUGGGGAAUAUUGGACAAUGGGCGAAAGCCUGAUCCAGCCAUGCCGCGUGUGUGAAGAAGGUCUUCGGAGUUGUAAAGCACUUUAAGUUGGGAGGAAGGGCAGUAAAUUAAUACUUU
rnacentral:rRNA from 1 species